rnacentral:rRNA from 1 species
GUGGGGAAUCUUGCGCAAUGGGCGAAAGCCUGACGCAGCCAUGCCGCGUGAAUGAUGAAGGUCUUAGGAUUGUAAAAUUCUUUCACCGGGGACGAUAAUGACGGUACCCGGAGAAGAAGCUCCGGCUAACUUCGUGCCAGCAGCCGCGGUAAUACGAAGGGGGCUAGCGUUGCUCGGAAUUACUGGGCGUAAAGGGAGCGUAGGCGGACAGCUUAGUCAGAGGUGAAAGCCCAGGGCUCAACCUUGGAAUUGCCUUUGAUACUGGCUGUCUUGAGUUUGGGAGAGGUGAGUGGAACUCCGAGUGUAGAGGUGAAAUUCGUAGAUAUAGGAAGGAACACCAGUGGCGAAGGCGACUACCUGGACUGAUACUGACACUGAGGUGCGAAAGCGUGGGGAGCAAACAGGAUUAGAUACCCUAGUAGUCC